UAAGCAGAUAGUGAAAGCGUGGGGCUCAACCCCAUAUCCAUUAUUUGAACUGCUAAGCUAGAGGACGAGAGAGGUAGCUAGAAUUCCUUGUGUAGGAGUGAAAUCCGUAGAUAUAAGGAGGAAUACCGAUGGCGUAGGCAGGCUACUGGCUCGUUCCUGACACUAAGGCACGAAAGCGUGGGAGCGACCGGGAUUAGAUACCCCGUUAGUCCACGCCGUAAACGAUGGAUGCUA
rnacentral:rRNA from 1 species